CAGACACUCACAAAGCCUAAUGGAAAAUCCUUGGGAAUGAUGGAGAGCUUGCUCCAGGAAGGCCGAAACAGCUCUUCAGAGCUUUCCCCAGGAAGUAGCCUCCAAAUUUGUUUCUCUUUUCAUUAACAAGCCAAGGAGGGCAAAAAUGUAAUAUUAUGAACUGAUAGCAAGGUUUUAUCUCAUAAAAAUUUGUCUUGGACUCUAAUAAUAAAGCUGCCACUUCA